AGGAAAGGAAUGUAUAUGGGAACUGUUGAUCAUGGCCUGAACCUCUGAUUGACCACCUGAGGCAAGAACUGAGUCAGCCAUGGGAACACAGGUGAAGGCGAUUCACCUGUGCUACCAGAAGGGGUGGAGCCUGGCUGCACCUCUCCUAGACCCCAUUUAAGGGCUGACUGCCACUGAGGAAGGAUCUCCUUCUGGAGAUUGCUCCUUGUGGGGUUUACUGUGAGCCUAUGAUACUGGUUUGUAUCCUGGGAAGGGUGGAGUGAAAUGGCUUGCAUUUUCUUUUGGCAUACAGUAGAGGCACUUCAUAACUUCAUGACAUCAACUGCCAUCUGAAACACAGAUGAACACCAGGACUUACACAGUGUUUAUUAUAAUUAUACACACGAAUACAAGAUACAUAUAUUUGUCUGAUUGUAAUAUUCUAUAUGCGUGGAGGUUUCUUGCUCAAUGAAGACAAAAUGGAAGGAUAAAAUUGGUGCCUACUAACAUACCCUGCUUUGUAGGAACUUCAAGAUAUCUUAAAAGUUCAGUUGUUCUGUUGAAAUGUCAAGGACUCAACAAAUAGCAAAAACUCUUUUCUGAUAGAUAGCUUUUGUUGUCAUUCUUUUAAGUUUGCUUUUGGUAUUAUUUUAGUGGAAUAGUCCAUGCAGCGGUCUUUGAAAAGGUGUCUCGGGUAUUUUCUUUGUACUAAUGUCUUUCCAUAAGUGUCCAUUGAAUAGUGACAAUAUCAAAGAAAUACUGUGUUUCAAUCAGUAGACACAAAUUUGCUUUAUAAGUAACAACAAAAGUGACAUAUGUCUAAUUUUUCUUGCUAUAAAAUCAUUAAGAAGUACCUAUGUUUUCUGACUGACAACAUUUAUAUCAUUAAGACAAACAAAACAGGGCUUUUACUGUUCCAUUCUGAUGUGAUUUUGGCCAGGAAAUAUAUGAGAGACUUUAAAAAAUGUACUCAUUUGCUUGAAUAAAAGCUUUUACCUUUUGAAGUGUUCUAUAAUAUGACAAACUACUGUGGUUUUGAUGAAAUUGAGAACUCCUUUGGAAUGUGGGGAUCUAGCAGUACAAUCCAACAGACAAAGUAAUGUGUGUUGCUGCUUUAAUUUUAAUGUGAGCACUGUUCUAUAUUAAAGGUGUCUUGUUUUUUUUCAUGACAUCUAUGAUGCAAUUCACUGCAAAAAAAACAACACCUGAAUAUAUUUUUAUAUAACACAAAGCAUAUAGUAGGGAAAGUAUAAUUAAAAUGAUUAAGAAAAAUUUGCACUUAUGAACCCAAUUUUGAGUCCAAUUAGGUCAGAGCAAUUUGAAAUCUGGAAGCAGAUAAAAGAGGAUAAGGCCAUUAAAGUCUGUGGAAAGAUCCCUUUGACUUCACUGGACUUUGCUGAUGUACCAAGUGCACUGAAAAAGAUCAAAAGAUCAAUAAAAACAGUGAAUUGUACCAGGAUCUCUUAAGUAUUUUACUUCAAUUAAGAUACUUACUUAGCAUCUCUUGUAAUGAAUAGCAUUUGCAGCAUCACUGACUUACAGGUUGUCCAUUCUUACUGAUUAAGUAGUACUAUAUUAACCAGUUGAUUUAUCAUCAUAAAAAACGAAGUAUGAAUAAUCAGUUAUAAAAGUUCCUAUCUAAAGUAUUUGAAAAUACUAAGACUGCCAAUUUUUCUCUACAGGAGAUGAACAAAAUCAAUGUUCUGUAUUUUCUGUACAGUAACCUUUUUUAUCUAUUGGAAUAACUUAAGAUCCUAAUGUCUUUUUUCUCUGCUUAGUUAGCAGCAUAGGAAAGGCAGGCUAGUCAUGGUUCCAUUCUUCCAAGGAAAGGCUGAUGCUAAAAUAGAAAUGAUGCUAAAAUAAGCCAUUUUUCUCUUUAAUUUGUAUAAUUACUUGUUUGUGUGUGUGUGUGUGUGUGUGUUCAAAUUACAGACCAAUUCUUUGGAAAUGACUCUCUAAGAACGUAUGGGAGUUUAUACUCCUUACUCACAAACCUGAAUUUUAAUAGUAUAUGGAUUUGGCAAGUCUUGAUUUAAGUUUCUUCCACACUUCUCUGCCAAUGCAUUUCAGCCCUGACUUUUAACAUUGCCAGUUUUCCUAUCUAGGUCUACUUAGAAACUGAGACUGCCAAUUAAAUUAUAACUUAAUAAAAUGAUCAUAAUUUGAAGCACAUUCAAGAAAAACAGUUUCAGUAAUGGUCUGUUCAAUAAAGAUGGCGUGAGUGAAUUUUUUAGUUUACAACCAUGAAAAGGCACCCAACCCAGUGCAAUUGUAUGGAAUGCAGCAGGGUUAUUGCAAAACAAAUCUGUUUUUCUGUGAACUGAACUUUUUGGGGAUAUUUAUGCACUGUUUUCCUUUACUGUGGCAAGUAUGCAAUAGUAAACGUAUGCCUUACUUG